ensembl:lncRNA
AUACUCCUCGCAACUCCUGGUAAGUAACGUUAGUCAGCUAAUCCUAUUUACGUUUGUAACACUUUAUUAAAAAGUUAAUAAUUAUUAAGCAUUUCCUAACAAUUUUCUUUGUAUUUUACGUCAUCUUAAACAAGUUUCGCGGCUUAAUUGAAGCCACCUGAAGGAUGGCUUUCCUCAGCAACGGCAAGGCCCGCACUCCUCGCAUAUCCUGUUUAACAAGUUUCGCGGCUCAAGCAAGAGGCACCUGUCACUGAAGGACUGCUUUCCUCAGCAACGACGUGAACAGCAUUACUCGAAUAUCCUGAUUCAGCUGAUCUACCUGUCUUUGUACAAGCGGAGUUGGCAGAGGAGGUCAUAAAAAUCUACAUCCUUCGGGACAAUGAUGGGGCAGUUGGUGAUGUAGGAGUUGUGAUUGAGGGCAUCACUGUCCUUAGCAAUCUUGGGAAUCUCAGCAGAGCCUGCUGCUUUCUUUUGGGACUCACGUACGCAUUGGAUUUGAGAUAUCCCAAGACCCACAGAUACUCACUUGAGGUGUUCCAAAAACUUGAGCUGGAUUCUUUAAGAAUCUCUGUUAAGGUUCAGAGGUUAAAAAAUUAUCUUCUUGCAUAGUUGCUGUUCAAGACCAUCCCACAGAAUGGGCAUUCCUGAUGGAAGUGUUUCUGUUAUCUGAUUAAUACUGUUGAAGGGAUAGUUCACCCAAAAAUGAAAAUGUUGUCAUAAUGUACUCGCCCUCAAGUUGUCCCAAACCUGUACGAGUUUCUUUCUUCUGUUGAACACAAAAGAUAUUUUAAAGAAUGUUGGUUAACAGACAAUUGAAGGUUGCCAUUGACUUUUCAUAGUAUAUAUUUUUUUCCUACCAUGGAAGUCAAUGGCAACCUUCAACUGUCUGUUAACCAACAUUCUUUAAAAUAUCUUUUGUGUUCAACAGAAGAAAGAAACUCGUACAGGUUUGGGACAACUUGAAGUGUUGCUUUUAUGGUUUAAUGUUGAGUGUGACUGCAAAUGGCUGGUAUGCACCAGCAACAAAGUAAGAUGUAAUUUCUCUUACGACCAUCGUAUUUUACGUGCAAUCUACUUGAAUAUUAAGAUUGAUGAAAUGUUUCAUAAGGUUUAGUAAUUUCUCUUAUGGCUACUUUACAUUUUUGAAUUUUGAAAUCUACUUGAAUAUUAAAAUGGAUGAAAUGUUUCAUAGAUUGAUUUUAGACUUUGUCUAAUGUUUAAUUGACAAAUAAAUGUUCAAUUAAAAAUGUUUUUUUUUCUUUA